rnacentral:rRNA from 1 species
UACGAAGGGGGCUAGCGUUGCUCGGAAUUACUGGGCGUAAAGGGUGCGUAGGCGGGUCUUUAAGUCAGGGGUGAAAUCCUGGAGCUCAACUCCAGAACUGCCUUUGAUACUGAAGAUCUUGAGUUCGGGAGAGGUGAGUGGAACUGCGAGUGUAGAGGUGAAAUUCGUAGAUAUUCGCAAGAACACCAGUGGCGAAGGCGGCUCACUGGCCCGAUAUUGACGCUGAGGCACGAAAGCGUGGGGAGCAAACAGG